rnacentral:ncRNA from 1 species
AAACUGAAGAGUUUGAUCAUGGCUCAGAUUGAACGCUGGCGGCAGGCCUAACACAUGCAAGUCGAGCGCGAAAGUUCCUUCGGGAAUGAGUAGAGCGGCGGACGGGUGA